rnacentral:rRNA from 1 species
ACCGGCGCACGGGUGCGUAACGCGUAUGCAAUCUACCUUAUACAGGGGGAUAGCCCAGAGAAAUUUGGAUUAAUACCCCAUAGUAUCUUCAAAUGGCAUCAUUUGAUUAUUAAAGUUCCAACGGUAUAAGAUGAGCAUGCGUCCCAUUAGCUAGAUGGUAAGGUAACGGCUUACCAUGGCAACGAUGGGUAGGGGUCCUGAGAGGGAGAUCCCCCACACUGGUACUGAGACACGGACCAGACUCCUACGGGAGGCAGCAGUGAGGAAUAUUGGUCAAUGGUCGCAAGUCUGAACCAGCCAUGCCGCGUGCAGGAUGAAGCAUCUAUGGUGUGUAAACUGCUUUUGUACGGGAAGAAACACUCCCUCGUGAGGGAGCUUGACGGUACCGUAAGAAUAAGGAUCGGCUAACUCCGUGCCAGCAGCCGCGGUAAUACGGAGGAUCCAAGCGUUAUCCGGAAUCAUUGGGUUUAAAGGGUCCGUAGGCGGUUUUAUAAGUCAGUGGUGAAAUCUGGUCGCUCAACGAUCAAACGGCCAUUGAUACUGUAAGACUUGAAUUACUUGGAAGUAACUAGAAUAUGUAGUGUAGCGGUGAAAUGCUUAGAGAUUACAUGGAAUACCAAUUGCGAAGGCAGGUUACUACGAGUAUAUUGACGCUGAUGGACGAAAGCGUGGGGAGCGAACAGGAUUAGAUACCCUGGUA